rnacentral:rRNA from 1 species
UACAGAGGUCCCAAGCGUUGUUCGGAUUCAUUGGGCGUAAAGGGUGCGUAGGCGGCGCGGUAAGUCGGGUGUGAAAUCUCGGGGCUUAACUCCGAAACUGCAUUCGAUACUGCCGUGCUUGAGGACUGGAGAGGAGACUGGAAUUUACGGUGUAGCGGUGAAAUGCGUAGAUAUCGUAAGGAAGACCAGUGGCGAAGGCGGGUCUCUGGACAGUUCCUGACGCUGAGGUGCGAAAGCGUGGGGAGCAAACAGG